AAAAUUCAUGAGAAUAUUUCAGUAGCAAGUACGACUUGACAGGAAUUGCUGACAAUUUCAUAACGAGAAGGAAAAUUAUUCUGAGUUAUGAUUCUCCAAGAGCUGAUUCUCCUGAUUCUCGGAGUAACGAUGGCCAACGCGAUUACUUUCUGCUUGACCCAUACGGAUUGCCUGACAGAUUGCCGCGGACCAUUCGUUCCUGUCUGUAUAUUGGGCCUCUGCACCUGUUCACCAAUUCUAUCUUGAGAAUUCCACCGCAGGCCACAAAUUCCAAUUCUGAAUUCCCAUUCUUCCACUGAAGUUGACAAUUAUUUUUUCUUAUCACUGGAGUAAUUACUAUUUUCCACGUCAUAAUGCGGAAGACUACAUUUAUCAUGAAUUAAUAAAAACAAUGAGACAUCAAA